rnacentral:rRNA from 1 species
AUUGAACGCUGGCGGCAUGCCUAACACAUGCAAGUCGAACGAGUGGCGGACGGGUGAGUAAUGUCUGGGAAACUGCCUGAUGGAGGGGGCUAACUACUGGAAACGGUAGCUAAUACCGCAUACCAUCGGAUGUGCCCAGGUGGGAUUAGCUAGUAGGUGGGGUAAAGGCUCACCUAGGCGACGAUCCCUAGCGGGUCUGAGAGGCUGACCAGCCACACUGGGACUGAGACACGGUCCAGACUCCUACGGGAGGCAGCAGUGGGGAAUAUUGGACAAUGGGCGCAAGCCUGAUGCAGCAAUGCCGCGUGUAUGAAGAAGGUCUUCGGGUUGUAAAGUACUUUCAGCGGGGAGGCGUUACCCGAAGAAGAAGCACCGGCUAACUCCGUGCCAGCAGCCGCGGUAAUAC